rnacentral:rRNA from 1 species
CCCUUAGAUGUUCUGGGCCGCACGCGUGCUACACUGAGUGGAUCAGCGGGUCAGGUUGCGCGAAAGUGUUUCCUAAUCUUUAAAUCCGCUCGUGAUGGGGAUUGACGGUUGCAAUUUUCCGUCAUGAACGAGGAAUACCUUGUAAGCGCGGGUCAUCAUCCCGCGCUGAAUACGUCCCUGCCCUUUGUACACACCGCCCGUCGCUCCUACCGAUUGAGUGGUCCGGUGAGGCUUUGGGAUCUGGGCGGAAAGAGCGUUUCGCUGUUUCUGCCCGGAAAACUCAGUCGAACCUUAUCAUUUAGAGGAAGGAGAAGUCGUAACG